CCUACGUGAGGCAGCAGUGGGGAAUAUUUCACAAUGGGGGAAACCCUGAUGCAGCGACGCCGCGUGAGUGAAGAAGUAAUUCGUUAUGUAAAGCUCUAUCAGUAUGGAAGAAAAUGCCGGUACCUGAGUAAUAAUCCCCGGCUCACUAAGUUCCAGCAGCCGUCGUAAUACGUAGGCGGCACGAGUUAUCCGGAUUUACUGGGUGUUAAGGGAGCUUAGACGGCUGGACAAGUCAGGAGUGAAAGGCUGGGGCUCAACACCCGGAUUGCAGUUGAAACUGUAACGCUGGAGUGCAGGAGAGGUAAGUGGAAUUCGUAGGGUAGCGGUGAAAUGCUUAGAUAUGAGGAAGAACACCAGUGGCGAAGGCGGUUUACUGGACUGUAACUGACGUUGAGGCUCGAAAGCGUGGGGAGCAAACAGGAUUAGAUACCCUUGUAGUC
rnacentral:rRNA from 1 species